GUUCUGGAGAUGAGCAUUGGGGCGCCGGAAGCCCAGCAACGCCUGGCCCUGAGUGAGCACCUGGUUACCACUGCCACCUUCUCCAUCGGCUCCACUGGCCUCGUGGUGUAUGACUACCAGCAGCUGCUGAUCGCCUACAAGCCAGCCCCUGGCACCUGCUGCUACAUCAUGAAGAUAGCUCCAGAGAGCAUCCCCAGUCUUGAGGCUCUCACUAGAAAAGUCCAGAA
rnacentral:sRNA from 1 species